UGGCGCUCAUGUUUACAAGAUGGUAGUGGAGGAUUUUUCGAUCUGAUUUACAAACAGAAAGUAUUAACGCUUGAUUCCUGACGUAUUGACUCUUAAAUCCUCCUUUAGUCUCGGUUUCCAUCGAAAAGUGGACUCAGUUUUAAGAAAGAAACGCAGCAGGCUCUCUUUGCUCUCAAUGUGUUUUAAAUAGCAGAUGAGAUUAUUUUUGCACAGUCACUGACAGACACACGGACCAACAGACACACAGACAGGACUAUACCUUUGAUAAAUACACAGGACUGUCUAUUGGGUCUGCAGGAGUGUCCCUGAAUCCAGCCGAAUGAACAGAGCGACUGCAAAGCAUCUAAUCGAGCGCUACUUUCGGCAGUUAACCGAGGGCUGUGGAAAUGGCGACUGCACGAACGAGAUUUGUGCAUCGUGUCCCGACUUCAGAUCGCUGGAUAGCAACACGGCGGCCGCCAAAGCGCUGGAUCUGUUCAAGGUUAACGCCAAACUCUGUAACCCCAACCCCUCCAAGAAAGAGCAAGACUCUGAUCUGGUCAAUAAGAUGACGGACGUUGGAAACGCCAAAGAAAACUUCUCAGGUAAC